UUUUGUUGGUCUUUCUGUGUCAAAUCAAAUGGACUUUUGUUGGUCCUAAUGCGGCACAUCAGAUGGUUUCUUUUGGUCCUAAUGUGUGACACCAUCCGGAGAAUUUGAUUUAGUUUUGUUCCAAAUGAUGUUCCUGAAGCUUUGUGCUUCCUCUCAUAAAACAAUAGAAAAGAUCAGUAAUGACUCAUCUUUCAGAAUCAGUGUUUUGUUGAUCUGGCUCUGUUUUGCUGAUGCUGCUGAUGCUGUUGGAAAUAAUAUUUUUCCAGCUCCGAAACUGAUAUGUUUUGUGUUUGUGCGUGUGUGUACACAUGCACGAGUGCUUAUAUGUGUGUGUGCAUGUUUGUGUGUGUGUGUAUUUACACUAUGUGUGUGAUGUACAUUUGUUAGACACUUGGAGUUGUAUUGUUCAAGGGGACCUGCUCUGCUCUGGAAGCACUCCUGCUUCCUCUGCUAUCACUGGGAAAUUGGGGCCUGUAUUGUACCUUGGUGGGAAAUAACAUCAGACAGAAAACCCAUUUUGUUUCUACCCCUGAGAGCUCUCUCUCCUGCAUCAGCUACAGAGGUGCUUGGUGCGGAGGUAGGUUUGUUUGACUCCUUUACGAGGGGCCAUUUACUAAUGUAUUUUAUCGCCGUAAUACUGUGGGAUUCUAAUUACACUGAUUUGUCUCUUACUUCAAAGCUUGUGCUGAUUGUACUCAUUAGAUCGAAAUUGAACUGGGAUUUAUUAAAUGGGCAUCACAUCGCCCACAGUUCAUUCUGAGAGAAUGAAGGCAACACUUGUGAGCUGUGUUUUACCUUUUAUUUAUUCUUGAAAUAGCCUGUUGUAUUACUAGUAGUAAUAAUUUCGAUCAUCUCAGUCAAGCCAUAGAAGUACAUUAUUAUCAAUGGUUUGUUAAUACUUGGCAAGUUAUUUUCCAUUCAUUUUAAAUGUGAGAAUAGGCAUUGGUAAUAGACUGAAUUCAGUCAACUCUUUGCCCAUCAGAUCUUUUCCCUGUUCGGUCAUUCACAGCUUUGGUGAAACAUUGUUGUAUAAGGUUUUAUAAGCCCACCAGGGGUAUGAGUACCAUGUACACUAGGACUGAUUUGAAUUAUUUGUGUACCUUGGCUAUUCCGCUCCUACUCUGCAUGGGCUCACAGAGAGAGAGUUGUUGUGGGUGUUAAAUGGUUGUCAUUAAACUGCAAGCCCAUAGUACUAUAUAAAGCCUAUGUAAUUACCACAGUAUUAAUCUAUCUAUAUUCCACCAUUUAACAGAGGAAAUCUCCGCACUGUCAUGGCAAUUUUUGCUCACAGGUAAAUGUCAAAACAUUAACCUUGAGUGGGUGAAUGCUAUGACAUGAUAAAUCGGGCCAUGCUCCACCAUUAUUUCCAACCUCUGUAAUCUGGUAAACAGAGGAAAGGUGGUAGUUUAGUAGAGCAUUCUGCUUUCCUCUGAAACUAUGUGUACUGGGUUCAUUCGUACUGCACCAGUAUACAUGAGGCAUUGGAAUAACAACAUAUGAUCUAAGAGACCAUUUUUAAUUCAGCAAAACAAAGGUAAUUUGUGAUUUAGAUAAAGACAUUCAUUAAAGAUCUAACGUUAGCAAUAGAUUAUUUUGAAUUUAAGAUUCAUUUCGAUGAAGAUCAAAGACAUUGCAUGCAUUACAGUUGAAGGUGUAUUCAGAUCAGUGAGGAGGGACGGUCAGAGACCAUGACAGAUGGAGGUGUGUUCAGAUCAGUGAGGAGGGCUGGUCAGAGACCAUGACAGAUGGAGGUGUGUUCAGAUCAGUGAGGAGGGCUGGUCAGAGACCAUGACAGAUGGAGGUGUGUUCAGAUCAGUGAGGAGGGCUGGUCAGAGACCAUGACAGAUGGAGGUGUGUUCAGAUCAGUGAGGAGGGACGGUCAGAGACCAUGACAGAUGGAGGUGUAUUCAGAUAAGUGAUGAUGAAAGACCACGGAUGCCAGAGGCUUUGUUGACAAUGUGUUAUUGCUACUGAUUUGUAAUCUUCUAUUUUAGCACUGUAUCACCUUCCUGCACGGUCUCUUUUAAACAUGUUUCAAAAUGGCACUGUCUAUACAGUAAUUGGUAUAUUGGGAGGCCCCUCCCCUGUCCUCUCUAUACAGUAAUGAGUAUAUUGAGAGGCCCCUCCCCUAUCCUCUCUAUACAGUAAUGAGUAUAUUGAGAGGCCCCUCCCCUAUCCUCUCUAUACAGUAAUUGGUAUAUUGGGAGGCCCCUCCCCUGUCCUCUCUAUACAGUAAUUGGUAUAUUGGGAGGCCCCUCCCAUGUCCUCUCUAUACAGUAAUGAGUAUAUUGGGAAGCCCCUCCCCUGUCCUCUCUAUACAGUAAUGAGUAUAUUGAGAGGCCCCUCCCCUGUCCUCUCUAUACAGUAAUGAGUAUAUUGAGAGGCCCCUCCCCUGUCCUCUCUAUACAGUAAUGAGUAUAUUGAGAGGCCCCUCCCCUGUCCUCUCUAUACAGUAAUGGGUAUAUUGGGAAGCCCCUCCCCUGUCCUCUCUAUACAGUAAUGAGUAUAUUGAGAGGCCCCUCCCCUGUCCUCUCUAUACAGUAAUGAGUAUAUUGGGAAGCCCUUCCCCUGUCCUCUCUAUACAGUAAUGGGUAUAUUGGGAAGCCCCUCCCCUGUCCUCUCUAUACAGUAAUUGGUAUAUUGGGAAGCCCCUCCCCUAUCCUCUCUAUACAGUAAUUGGUAUAUUGGGAAGCCCCUCCCCUGUCCUCUCAAUACAUUAAUGGGUAUAUUGGGAGGCCCCUCCCCUCAAUUUACACUAAUGAGUAUAUUGAGAGGCCCCUCCCCUAUCCUCUCUAUACAGUAAUGAGUAUAUUGAGAGGCCCCUCCCCUAUCCUCUCUAUACAGUAAUUGGUAUAUUGGGAGGCCCCUCCCCUGUCCUCUCUAUACAGUAAUGAGUAUAUUGAGAGGCCACUCUCCUGUCCUCUCUAUACAGUCAUGAGUAUAUUGGGAGGCCCCUCCCCUCUCCUCUCUAUACAAUAAUGGUUAUAUUGGAAAGCCCAUCCCCUCACUGUACAGUAAUGGGAUUUAUGGAGAGCCCCUCCCCACAUAUAAUAUUUGAUAUAUUGCAGAGCCUAUGUUGGAGAGCCCCUCCCCUCCCCUCUAUAUACAAUAAUCGGUAUAUUGGAGCGCCCCUCCCCUUUCUAUACAGUAAUUGGUAUAUUGGAGAGUCCCUCCCCUUUCUAUAC
rnacentral:lncRNA from 1 species